UACGUAGGGUGCAAGCGUUGUCCGGAAUUAUUGGGCGUAAAGAGCUCGUAGGCGGUCUGUCGCGUCUGCUGUGAAAUCUCAGGGCUUAACCCUGAGCUUGCAGUGGGUACGGGCAGACUAGAGUGCGGUAGGGGAGACUGGAAUUCCUGGUGGAGCGGUGAAAUGCGCAGAUAUCAGGAGGAACACCCGUAGCGAAGGCGGCACUCUGGGCCGAUACUGACACUGAGGAGCGAAAGCGUGGGGAGCGAACAGG
rnacentral:rRNA from 1 species